rnacentral:rRNA from 1 species
UACGAGGGGGGCAAGCGUUGUUCGGAAUUACUGGGCGUAAAGUGUGCGCAGGCGGCUUCGCAAGUCGAGUGUGAAAUCCCCGAGCUUAACUUGGGAAUUGCGCUCGAAACUACGGAGCUGGAGUGUGGCAGAGGAAGGUGGAAUUCCACGUGUAGCGGUGAAAUGCGUAGAGAUGUGGAGGAACACCGAUGGCGAAGGCAGCCUUCUGGGCCAACACUGACGCUCAUGCACGAAAGCGUGGGGAGCAAACAGG